AGUGAACGCUGGCGGUAGGCCUAACACAUGCAAGUCGAACGGCAGCACAGAGGAGCUUGCUCCUUGGGUGGCGAGUGGCGGACGGGUGAGGAAUACAUCGGAAUCUACUCUGUCGUGGGGGAUAACGUAGGGAAACUUACGCUGAUACCGCAUACGACCUACGGGUGAAAGCAGGGGAUCUUCGGACCUUGCGCGAUUGAAUGAGCCGAUGUCGGAUUAGCUAGUUGGCGGGGUAAAGGCCCACCAAGGCGACGAUCCGUAGCUGGUCUGAGAGGAUGAUCAGCCACACUGGAACUGAGACACGGUCCAGACUCCUACGGGAGGCAGCAGUGGGGAAUAUUGGACAAUGGGCGCAAGCCUGAUCCAGCCAUACCGCGUGGGUGAAGAAGGCCUUCGGGUUGUAAAGCCCUUUUGUUGGGAAAGAAAUCCAGCUGGUUAAUACCCGGUUGGGAUGACGGUACCCAAAGAAUAAGCACCGGCUAACUUCGUGCCAGCAGCCGCGGUAA
rnacentral:rRNA from 1 species